UACGUAGGGGGCAAGCGUUGUCCGGAAUCAUUGGGCGUAAAGCGCGUGUAGGCGGCUCGAUAAGUCUGCUGUGAAAGUCCAGGCUCAACCCUGGGAUGCCGGUGGAUACUGUCGGGCUAGAGUACGGAAGAGGCAAGUGGAAUUCCUGGUGUAGCGGUGGAAUGCGCAGAUAUCAGGAGGAACACCUAUAGCGAAGGCAGCUUGCUGGGACGUAACUGACGCUAAGGCGCGAAAGCGUGGGGAGCGAACAGG
rnacentral:rRNA from 1 species